rnacentral:rRNA from 1 species
GUCUGAUGUGAAAGCCCACGGCUCAACCGUGGAGGGUCAUUGGAAACUGGGGGACUUGAGGGCAGGAGAGGAGAGCGGAAUUCCACGUGUAGCGGUGAAAUGCGUAGAGAUGUGGAGGAACACCAGUGGCGAAGGCGGCUCUCUGGCCUGCACCUGACGCUGAGGCGCGAAAGCGUGGGGAGCAAACAGGAUUAGAUACCCUGGUAGUUCACGCCGUAAACGAUGAGUGCUAAGUGUUAGAGGGGUCACACCCUUUAGUGCUGCAGCUAACGCGAUAAGCACUCCGCCUGGGGAGUACGGCCGCAAGGCUGAAACUCAAAGGAAUUGACGGGGGCCCGCACAAGUGGUGGAGCAUGUGGUUUAAUUCGAAGCAACGCGAAGAACCUUACCAGGUCUUGACAUCCCCUGACAACCCAAGAGAUUGGGCGUUCCCCCUUCGGGGGGACAGGGUGACAGGUGGUGCAUGGUUGUCGUCAGCUCGUGUCGUGAGAUGUUGGGUUAAGUCCCGCAACGAGCGCAACCCUUGCCUCUAGUUGCCAGCAUUCAGGUGGGCACUCUAGA